rnacentral:rRNA from 1 species
UACGGAGGGAGCUAGCGUUGUUCGGAAUUACUGGGCGUAAAGCGCGCGUAGGCGGCCUUGCAAGCUAGAGGUGAAAGCCCGGAGCUCAACUCCGGAACUGCCUUUAAAACUGCAUAGCUUGAAUCCGGGAGAGGUGAGUGGAAUUCCGAGUGUAGAGGUGAAAUUCGUAGAUAUUCGGAAGAACACCAGUGGCGAAGGCGGCUCACUGGACCGGUAUUGACGCUGAGGUGCGA